GUGUCAGCAGCCGCGGUAAUACGAAGGGGGCUAGCGUUGUUCGGAAUCACUGGGCGUAAAGGGCGCGUAGGCGGCUUUAUAAGUCGGGGGUGAAAGCCUGUGGCUCAACCACAGAAUUGCCUUCGAUACUGUAGAGCUUGAGACCGGAAGAGGUAAGUGGAACUGCGAGUGUAGAGGUGAAAUUCGUAGAUAUUCGCAAGAACACCAGUGGCGAAGGCGGCUUACUGGUCCGGUUCUGACGCUGAGGCGCGAAAGCGUGGGGAGCAAACAGGAUUAGAUACCCCCGUAGUCC
rnacentral:rRNA from 1 species